UCAGAAUCCUUUCUAUUCCACAAUAAUACAUCGCCCAGAGUGCCAGCAAUCACAGCCAGGACACCUUAUGACACUUCCCUUGCCUCCAUCAUUGCUUCAAAAAGUAGAAAUGUGGGUGUAGGGAAGGAAGGUGCACCAAGACAGAAGCCUUUACAAAAUGAACCAGAAUCAGUUCUGGGUGACUUGAGCUGCCCAAGAGGGUCAAUCUGUUCUUUAUUUAGAAAAGAGCAAAUAAAGGACAAGAGCGAACAAAUGCUUGAGAAUGUUCCUCUUCCUUAAGAUUUUUGAAAAGAAUUUCAUGAUUGAAAACAGGAAGAACAAGGCCAGAGGUCUUAACAGAGUUAAAGCAAGCAGAGAUAGUAUCAAGUUGAAGGAGACAGAGGAGAUGAAAAAGACAUCAAAUCCAAAUUUCAAACAUAAAACUAACAUGUUUUAAACAGAGCUUUUUGUCCAAUUCUGUCUAGAGAGGAUCUAAUCACUCUCUGGUGUCUCUGACCAAAGAAUUCCUACAUACCAGGAAUUCUCCCUCUCAACAGUGUGAACCAGGUAUUUAAGUAAUGUUGAUACUACAGCAGAUGUUUCCAGUAGAUGCUGAUGAAUCUGAAUAGCCCAACCUUAUUGCACCCUCCUUACUCGAGGUGCCAAAGGGGCCUGAAGGAAGCUGAUGCUAUGCCAAGAGUUAAUUUAUGUUGUAGCUCAGUGUUGGCAGCACUACUGUUAUCACAGAGCAACCAAACCUACAAAUCAGAUCGAGUCCAAGCCAAAUCAACUCUGAAGAUUAUGGAUUUGGGAUCCAACUUUCUGAUAUUCUUAAGAGUAAUGAGAUUUUAUCUUAAAAUGCCAGAACAAGACAAAAGAGCAAACCAUUACUUAUUUGGCACAGGAUAAAGCACUGUGUUUAGCAGGUCUCAAGCAGAUACUAUUAGUUUUAAGUCCCCAGAUUCAGUCAGGUGCUAUUCCAACUUUGCCAAGAUGCACAAUGUACCAAUCCUUCUAUUCAGCCCAUUCUGACAUUUUCUUCAAUAUCCAAGGUCAGGAUGUGUGACCACUGGGAGAACUUACCCAUUCAGUAUUUUCACACAACAUUCAGAGUUCUUGGGAUUAUUCACAGCUCAGAUAAGGAGGAAGUUGCUGCAGAUACUUGACCUGAAUGCAGUGUUCCUCCUCCCUGAGGAAGUGACCCCACACAUGAUGCAGGCACAGGCAAUGAGGUCCCUUGGAUACCCAGGGGAGGGACAGCAGCUCACCCCUCUGCUCUGAUCAUGGACCACCUUCACAACUGAACACAUGCAGCUCAAAAAUAGCAGCUCAGGGCAAACAGCUGAAGGAACCUGGACCCUGAGCUGAUAAAUGAGAGGGACAUCAGGUGCAGACACCUUGCUGAGAAGACUCUUUGGCUGAAGAAACCCAGCCCUUUUUGGAGAGCAGCGUUCUGCCCCUCUGCCACUGCUGUUGCAGUGCAGAUGUCAGGAAGUUCACGCUGCUGGUGGACGUUUGCAGAGUGAAUCAUGGGGCACCACUUUCCAUUUUGACAAAAACAACUGCUGCUCAGUCAACAAGAUGCUGCUGAUGAAAUGGGUGGAUAGAACUCCUGUAACUGCUGCCAAAAAGGCUCCACCAGCACAAGCAAGCUGUGUGAGCUGCCUUGGAGAACUGGGAUUUAUUUUUCCCUUCCUAUUCUUAAGAGACUACUCACCUAAGGGGCUCAGCCCAUGGCUACCAGCUUUGACCUGCAAGUGGAGAAAAUGCUUGUUGCUGGAAGAGACUAGAAUAAUUAAAUUGGGGUGAACAAAAGGCAGAUAAUGUUUUAUGGAACAUGGAGUGCUAUAGGAGACAAGAAAAACAGCUUCCUCUGGUGCCUAUUGCCAAAAUUUCAGAGGACCAGACAACAACUUGAGAAUUUCCAAGGGAACAGCCACUGAGUCAGUCAAAAAUAGAACUAGGAAACUGCCUGUUUCAAAAGUAUCUCUGUAAGAUGUGCCAGCAUUUUUCAGUAUUUCUGUAAUUUCCGAGUAGAACACUCAAGAGUUAACACACAUAUAUCUACCCCCCCCAAAAAAAAAGCCAACCCACAGAAAAAGACAAAAUGAGAAAGGAAAUCUAUGUAGCAAAGAAACACUCAUCAUAUUUCAUAUACUUAAAAUAAAAAUCACUGAUCACUUUUGCACACAUUUAUGCAAAGUUUAUUAUUCUUUGCAAUUUUCAAACAUCUCUACUUCCUUAGGCAUCAUCAACAACCAAGGACAGCUUUCCUGCAGUCACCCUGUUAUUCAAAAUGUGGAUAAAUCUAAACAUGCAAAAAUAGGCAAUACUGCAUGCUCUUCCCUGAAAGAGGAUGGUAAGACUUAUACUGUUCUUUUUUUUUUUAUUUCAAUGAUUAAAAGCAAGAAAGGCUUAAGGGAAAGGGAGUAACUUUCUAUUUUAUUAUUCCUCGCUGUUAGUUUUCUGCUAUAUAGGUUAUAAUGUGGCACUCAUUAACAAUUCAUAGAAAAUUACCAUAUUCAAGUAGCACAGCAAGUUUUUACUACCUACCCAGGCAAAAUCCUGCAUAACCCUACUUGCUCCCUUUACAUAUUGUCCCAGAGGGAUCUCAUGCUGGAAAAGCUGGCAUUUUAUCACCUAACGGGAGAGGAAUUCCAACAGGUUGGAAACUCCAAGGAGCCCGGAACAGAAAAACAUUCCAUUAAAUCACAGACAAUGCAGAGCUGCUCAGCAAAAUGAAGCUCUGGAGAUGUGUGCUGGAGGCUGCCUCGGAAUUAAAAACCCCGAUGGGAUUCUGGAGCAAUGUCCCACUGCUUUGAACUUCUCGGUGCGUUUUAGAGGGAUGCAAAUGCAAGACCAGAGGUAUCGGCUUUGUCUCGGAGGGAUUCACGCUGCAUCUUUUACAGACCCUCGAUCAGAAUCAGUUGAUCAUUGCAGUAGCUUAACUCAUCUAUUUUACAAGUCAGGAAAUGAAAGCACCUAAAUGACUGAAUAAAUAUCACAAAUUAGCAAGGGUCUACAGUGCUCAUCAAUUUUAACUCCCAUAUAAAUCAGCAGCUUUGACAGACAUGCACACUAGACAGAGUGUGCCCACACUAUGCAGAGGCACCCAGAAAUUCAGCAUAGAAAUUUGGCUUUGAUGAUGUAAUCAAAUUCAGGAAAAAAAAGGGAGAAUCUAAAUUAAAGUUCAACAAUUCCUUUCUUCUAGACAGCUUGUAGGAACAAACAUGUUUGCUGCUGCUUAAACUUUUAAAUCAGCUUAGCAGACUUGAGAAAUUGAAUCAAGAAGCUGAAAUUUGAAGUGCCUAAACACCGAGACCUUCCCAGCGUUAACCACAUUGCUACAGAAGAACCAUUAAGAAAUAAGUAGUGGUAUAAUGCAGGCAAAUUCCAGUCUGAGACCGAGGUUCUGUUUUCAAGACUUAUGAAAUUAUUUCCUUGGAUCUCUUGGUUGGCGAUCAUAAUCAUAAACUCUGGGUGCAAAUCUGGCACUCAAGAAACCUUAUAACUAAAAUGAAUUGGAAGCAUCCUUAAGCUCAGCAAAAAAGAUCUUGGCACGUGGCUCACGUUGCCUGUGGGGCAGGUAAGGACAAAUAUCAACACCUCACCAGCAUGAGCUCACCCUGCAGGCACAAUCUUCCCAUGAACGUGCUCAGUGCCACUCGUGCUGCCUCUGCUGUGCCACUUGUCCCCCACACACAGAGUGGAUGCAAACUGCUCCUCUCCUCAAGGUCUCAUUUUCUGGAAACAGCUCACUGCCAGAGCAGAACCUCCCUUACCAAAAGACCUAAAUGCCCAGAAGCAGGAGGCACAGGCAAUGAACUGGGAAAGCAGCAAGAAUAGGUGCUCAGUUUUCCAUGCUCCUAUAAAAGCAAGUGAUAAUUUAAAAUCUCCAGCAGAUACUAUAGUAGGAGGGCAAUGAAGCAAGAGAACAGAUUGCAUGAAAAGGAAAAAGUGCCCUAUGGAGUUUGUGACCUGUUUACCAUAAGUAAAUAAAUAAAUGAAAGCAAAACAACCCCCUGAGGUGACAGUUUGCAUGAGGGACAUUAGUGACUCUGUCAUGUAGAAGCCUAUAGAAACAACUGCCAUUACAGAACAAAGGAUUGAUUGGCCACACAACAGGAACUCGGGAGAGAAAGCAGAUGUGAAAGAAGGGAAGAGGAAGAUUUGGAAAUGAGGACAGCAGGGAAGUCACUCUGAAUAUUGCCCAACUAACACCACUGCCCUGGUACACAGCAGCUGAAGGCAAAGAGGAAAAUGGAGCAGUUUGAGAACACCAUGAAAUGAAGAGAGAACACACAAGCCAGGUCAAUUCUUUCUACCCCACAAUGAAUCACUCAACAACUCUUUCUGCUCCUGUGGCAGGUGAACCAUCACAAUUUUGCCUCCUUUGUUAGGGUUAUUUAGUUCACUUGCUGACAGCAUUGAAAGAGUGCUGGCUCAGCCAGAGGGAGUGACAGCUUCGAUUCCUGCAGGAGCUGCUGUCCAAGGAAUCAGCCUGGGCUGUCCCUGCCUGUGGAACUGUCCUCUAUUCCCUGAUCUGGAGACAGGGUCCAGAAUAAACCUUAUCCCUUUCAGUUCCACUGCUAUCAAAAAUCAGGAAUGUGUUAUUUUGUCCUCUUUGAUCUCACUCAAACCAUGAAAACAACAGCCUAAGCAUUUUGCCUUGCUGUGUCUUGGGGAGCUGGAAACCUUUUACCAGCAAGAAAUUCUUACAGCAGUUACCAUGGCGACUCUGGUAAUAGAUAUUUAAAGGCAGUUCACUCAUAAUCACAUUCAUUAGAUAUCAGGAGGCUUUAGUAAGAGAGGCACAAAAAGCUUGAAACCAGGGAGCCUUCCAGGCUUGGUGAUGGUAUAAGAAAUUUAUAGGGAGGGAUCUGCUUAUCCCAUCAUUUAGCUGGACACAAAGGGCUCCUGUUCAAACAUGGAAUGGCACUGAAGCUUGCAGAAUAAACUAUUUUUAGUUUGUCAAUUUAAAAAUUGGUUCUGAAAGCCUCAUUUCAAUCGUGGUACUUCAAUAAAUCCUUUCAGAGUGGCCAUUGCCAGAAAUAUAAGAAAUAGCUGUGCCACAGCUCCAUCCCCCAUUAGAGCCAGGCUGCUGGGAAUCUCCUGGUCUGCCAUCACCUGGAAACUCAAAUCUGGAUAAAGCUCUGAGUUGAAGAGGUAUGUUUGGUUAUACAAACGUUAAAUAAUUUAUUUCUUUAGGUUUGAGUCCACAGCUUUCCAAUCCACUAGAACACAGCCAUGAGAAUCUGCAGAAGCAGAUCUCCAGAUAGGGAGCCACUUCACCAGGCUGCCUAAACCUGUGUUACAGUCAUCAAACUGAGAUUUCCUUUCUCUUUUUGCUGCAUAUUUCCAUGACAACUUUCCUGCAGUAUCAACUUCUUUCUAUUGGAAAGGUUUCUCAAAGAGAAUUUAGGCUUCUAUAGCAACAGCUGAAAGCCCUGGGAGAUGAUGAUGCCUGAAACUUUUUUUUAGACCACACAAGUGUGUUUUAAAUUUUAUAGAUGAAAACAAAAAUAUAUGUAAUAUUGGGUAAACUGUGAAGAGAAGAAGUACCUUGCUGAAGUGGAACAAACACAAAGAAACCACCUACUUUCAAAAGGGAUGCAGACUUUGAGAUCUAAAACGCUGGGAGAGAGCAGACAGGAUCAAACACUCAUCUUGAAAAGCCACAUCCUGUUCCUUCUCUCUGAGUUACAAAGCACAGUCACAAGGAACGAGUCUGCUGAUCCUAAAAAGAGAUUUUAGCCCAAGAUCUCUCUCUGCAUCCUAUUUUAUAUUGCCUUAAAGCAAAAAAAAAGAAAAAAAAAUUGGAAAAUCAGUGAGUCAGGAUUCCUUUUGAGUUUUAACUCCAAUACACCUGCCACCUACCUAUAACCUAACCUUUUUCUUAGUACUUUAGCAGUUUGCCAUGGUAGUGACACAGUAUUCUCCAAUACUGAAAGCUUUAGAAGAAAAAAAAACUUUGAAAGAAAAAAAAAAAAAAAAAAAAAAAAGCCCAGCUGCACUCUGAACCAAAUAAAUUUGCUAAACUCAAAAGCCAAGGAAGGUAUAGAAGCUGAAGCAGAUGUAUUUCACAAAGCACUUCACUUCUCCAGUACACUUCCAAACUUCAAGUUUUUUAAAGAAGAAAAAAAAAGACAAAACAUCACAUUCACAAGGUCAGUGAGAAGUAGGAAAGGAUGAAAUUUAAUGUAUAGAUGAGAAUGCCAAAGGGUGGAAAUGAAGCCCAGCAGGUCCCAGCACCUUCCCUUUUACAGCCACUGGAAACCUCUUUGUACACAACAAGUGAGAUAGCAGUGUGAGCACCUCAAAGAAGCCCCACUUUUCUGCUUGUAGUAAUUAAAAGUUUUUCCUUUUUUCAUUAAAGUACCCAUUAAUUUA